UAGCUGCGCUAAGCGGUGUGAAUUGCAGGACACGCCGAGCACUCGAUCUUUGAACGCACAUUGCAGCCUUGGGUCUUUCCCAGGGCUACGUCUGUCUGAGGGUCGGAAAAGUAAAACACAUUAUACAGGUCUGUUUAUCGAGAUGUGACCCUUGCGUCUAAUUCUCGUCAGACAUUUGAUGUACACGCAUUCCAACUCUUGUCUAUGCGGUUGGAGCGGCUAACAGCACAACACCACCCGUUGUCGCUGCGCUCAUAAACCGAAUCCUAUCAUAGACUUGUAGUAAAUAGCGUUUGUGUUGUAUCCGAUCAAACUUGUGAGUGAAUGCUCACACUUUCUCUUACUGUCGACCUCAGAUCAGGCGAGACUACCCGCUGAAGUUAAGC
rnacentral:misc_RNA from 1 species